rnacentral:rRNA from 1 species
AUUGAACGCUGGCGGCAUGCUUUACACAUGCAAGUCGAACGGCAGCGCGGGCUUCGGCCUGGCGGCGCGUGGCGAACGGGUGAGUAAUGCAUCGGAACGUGCCCAGUAGUGGGGGAUAGCCCGGCGAAAGCCGGAUUAAUACCGCAUACGACCUGAGGGUGAAAGCGGGGGACCGAAAGGCCUCGCGCUAUUGGCGCGGCCGAUGUCGGAUUAGCUAGUUGGUGGGGUAAAGGCUUACCAAGGCGACGAUCCGUAGCUGGUCUGAGAGGACGACCAGCCACACUGGGACUGAGACACGGCCCAGACUCCUACGGGAGGCAGCAGUGGGGAAUUUUGGACAAUGGGGGCAACCCUGAUCCAGCCAUGCCGCGUGCGGGAAGAAGGCCUUCGGGUUGUAAACCGCUGUUGUUCGGGAAGAAAACCUCUGGGCUAAUACCCCGGGGGGAUGACGGUACCGGAAGAAUAAGCACCGGCUAACUACGUG